rnacentral:rRNA from 1 species
GUGGAGCCUGCGGCUUAAUUUGACUCAACACGGGAAACCUCACCAGGCCCGGACACCAGAAGGAUUGACAGAUUAAGAGCUCUUUCUCGAUUUGGUGGGUGGUGGUGCAUGGCCGUUCUUAGUUGGUGGAGUGAUUUGUCUGGUUAAUUCCGGUAACGAACGAGACUCUGGCCUACUAAAUAGUCGACGGGUGUUUUGGUGCAUGGGCCCCGUUCGACACAGUCUUCUUAGAGGGAUGAGCAGCGAGUAUAGCUGCAGGAGAUUGAGCAAUAACAGGUCUGUGAUGCCCUUAGAUGUCCUGGGCCGCACGCGCGCUACACUGAAUGGGUUAGCGGGUUUUCCUUCUCCGAAAGGAGCGGGAAAUCGCGUGAAAACCAUUCGUGAUAGGGAUUGGGGCUUGCAAUUGUUUCCCAUGAACGAGGAAUUCCCAGUAAGCGCAAGUCAUCAGCUUGCGUUGAUUAAGUCCCUGCCCUUUGUACACACCGCCCGUCGCUACUACCGAUUGAAUGAUUUAGUGAGGCCUUCGGACUGGCGGUCUUGGACUGGGGCGUCGGCUUUCUCCCAGCAAUGGGGUGCUGGCGACUCGCCUCGACGGGCCGGAAAGAUGUCCAAACUUGAUCAUUUAGAGGAAGUAAAAGUCGUAACAAGGUUUCC